UAGGGAAUCUUCCACAAUGGACGCAAGUCUGAUGGAGCAACGCCGCGUGAGUGAAGAAGGUUUUCGGAUCGUAAAGCUCUGUUGUUGGUGAAGAAGGAUAGAGGCAGUAACUGGUCUUUAUUUGACGGUAAUCAACCAGAAAGUCACGGCUAACUACGUGCCAGCAGCCGCGGUAAUACGUAGGUGGCAAGCGUUGUCCGGAUUUAUUGGGCGUAAAGCGAGCGCAGGCGGAAUGAUAAGUCUGAUGUGAAAGCCCACGGCUCAACCGUGGAACUGCAUCGGAAACUGUCAUUCUUGAGUGCAGAAGAGGAGAGUGGAAUUCCAUGUGUAGCGGUGGAAUGCGUAGCUAUAUGGAAGAACGCCAGUGGCGAAGGCGGCUCUCUGGUCUGCAACUGACGCUGAGGCUCGAAAGCAUGGGUAGCGAACAGG
rnacentral:rRNA from 1 species